ACAGGGCUCAACGAAUGAGCACUUUCUUGGCGUGAGGUUAAUUUCAUAGAAGGCCAAGGUCAUCUGAAUUCCAUCUUAAACAGGAAAGAAAGCAAGGUGCAGCUUGGCAGGGCCUAGAUAAGAGCUGAGGCCACUGAUGUAUGUUCGGUUGCAGCCUGGAAACCAUCACGGGGGAUGACAUAAACCACCGUCCGCGUACGAUGCUUUAUAGGUUGUGUGGACACGGGCUCCGGAGCCAGACCCCUUGGGUUCCGAUCCACGUUCACCAUUCAUUAGUUGCAAGUGAUUAUUCUUCAAGAUUUCUUCUGAGAAGUCAUACAAAACAGGAAUGUCAAUUGCAAAAAAGACGCUGAGCAGGAAGGCACUACAGAAAAGCCCUCCUCCAAAGGGGAUGUUUAUUUCAGAGACACACAGGGGGACGCUCCAGCAGCUGUCUUCCAGGAAAUCGUCCACAACCCAGGAGCUCUGACUCCCGGGAGAAGGAAGAGGACGGCCCCUCGGGGCCGCACAGAAUGGACAGGCCAAGCGACAGGAGGGAGGCCGCCCGCGCUCCUCCAGGGCCUCGAGGAAGGCACAGUCACACCUGCAAAACACAGCGCCCAUCUUUUUCAUCCACUUUUACUUCUCAGGAGACCCCGGUCCCCAGAGACCUAUUUUCACCUCCCCAGCUCGGCACACGUUUUCUACAUGAUAUUAACCGGUCGCCUUUGAAUCUCGCACAUCCUGGUAUGCUUUGGAUUCACCGACCUCAUUUUUACACACACACACACACACACACACACACACACACCGGAAUCUGUACUAGCUGACUGCCGGCAAAAGAAAACGUUAGUGUGGCUCGCUCUCCUUCUUUUAAACAGCUUAAUUGAGAUACAAUGUACACGCCAUAAAACUCACUUAAAGUGUGUUCUUGCCUGACUUUGCGUUUAUUUACUGGGGCGUGCAUUAGCUGUUUCUUCUUGAAAAAUGGGGCCGCCGGGUGGACGUUUUGACCCUACAGGCUCCCCCCUUUGACAGGUGACAUCUAAAUAGAGAGCAGAUUCUGUCCAUGUUUCCACCCCCUUCGCCCCCCUCCAAAAGUUGUUUUACUCAUUUUGCCACUUACAACCUACUUCCUGUGUUUGGAGUCUGAGCCGCCCAGGCCUUUUCAGGAGACUUGCUGCCUUGUUUCUGCACUAAUAAGAAGGGCCAGGAGGCAUGUCUGAGGAGAUAGCACAUCAACAAGGACCCAGAUGAGGAGAAAGAGGCAUGAGCCAUGGAAGAAUGUUCUCUGCCCGAGAGACCAGUAAAGGCCCUGAUAUGGGAGCGCCGGAGACCGGUGAAGUCUAGCGGUGAGCAUACACACCGGGUAUGCCGUUCUGUCCUCCUGUCGUAGUGCUCCAAACAUUUCAGAAUCUAGACUUAUGUUCUAGAAAGGAAAACUGAAACACUGAUAGCUUUAUUAUCUUUGUGUGUCUGGGCCUCAAUAUGCCAUUCUGGGCAUUGCCUCUCUUCUUGAGAUGGUAAACAAAAAUAGUCGCUGUGAACUAUACAUACCAGGGAACCAGAAAUACAGUAAAACCUUGGUUUGCGAGCUUAAUUGCUUGUAAUCCAAAGCACCGGUACAUCAAAGCGAAUUUCAAAAACUAUUGGCUCGGUUGUGAUCGUGUGACGGCCCGCAUCACUCAUGACUCGUAUCGCAAGACAUCACUUGGUUAUCAAGGAAAAAUUUAUUAGACAUGUUUGCUCGCCUUGCGGAACGCUCGCAGAACACGUUACUCGCGUUCCCAGGUUUUACCGAGUAUCUUUUUUUUUUAACAUGUCUUUAUAUUUCAACAUAUUUUUUAAACUUCGCGUGGCCAUAUUCAUCCACAGUUGCCAUAACACAUUUUCUUUCUAUUGUCCUAACAGCAUCUCAUGAAACCCGUGUGAGUUUUAUUACUGCGGUACAUGUCCGUUUUUAGGCACUGAAAUUAACGUAGCAACUAUCACUCCCAGGCCAUUUCGACAAGGAUUCUGAGACGUGUUGUUUUCAACCGACUCUAAGUAGGAGGGGGGCUGGGACAGGCGAGUGAAACCAUGUGCUCCUUAAAGAAAAUAACAAAACAUAAUAAUGCCGUUGGUGCUGCUGACGACAAGCCUCUUCUGACUGAGCACCUUGGAAUGCUCUUCCCGCUGCGGGACUCACCUGUCGGAUGGGGGGCUGGCGAUUAAGUUUUCUCUGCGUCCUCUGAUGUCAUGUUCUCUUUCCUUUUCUCUCGAGGGUUUUCAGUGCCAGCUCUGUCAUCAGUCAUUGUCACUACGACCGUCUGAGUGUGAGGUUCACCUUCUCCUCUUUCUCCAAAAAGGGCUUCUGUGGGUGGGUUGUUCUAGAACACUGGCUCUCAACCACAGGUGAUCCAGACCAGGAGAGGCUUGGCAGCGCUGGGAGAUGCUUUUUGGCUCGUCACACUGUGCUCCUGGCAUGCAGCAGGUGGAGGCUGGGGGUGCACUGCCCAGGACGGCCCCCCACCCCCCACCCCCGACACGCGAAGAACAAUGCUGCCCCCAGUUUCAUCAACGGUGCCGAAGCUAAGAGCCUCGGGUCUCGAGCAACUGGGAAAGAUGAAGAAGGGAGACCGUGAGUGGAGGACACUGUUGCCUUAUGAUGCCCACGCGGUAUUUCCCACCCAAGAAACACGCAGCAACUUUUGUCUUAGUUGAUGCUGAUUACUCUCGAUUAUCCAUCCCCAGAGACCUGGCCGUGCGGCUGAACCCCACGUUAGGGGACAAGCACGAGGGGACAAAACCGGAGGCACAUUCAAACAUGUGCCGUAACUACCAGAGCAUUUUCUGCUCUGUCUUCAGAUCCUUGGUUUCAUUCAAGGGCCAACACAGUUGAUCUGCAUAUGGCAUUCAGCAGCAAAGUAAACUUUUUUCUCGGGUCUUUUGUUUCCAAAUCAAAGGGAAACAAAGGACAUCAAGCCCCAUUCAGGCACUUUCAAUGACUCUCAAAUAAACGUGGGAGCAAUACUGGAGCCGUUUAUAAUGCUCAGUGAUGAAAAAGCAUACUUAUUAACCUUGUAAACAUUCUAUAAAAGUACAAGGGAAACUUCAUAAAGAAUAUCCAAGUGUCCUUUUAAUAUAAUAGCCCUUUGUACUUUGAAAUGUUCAUAUGUGUACAAAAUAGAAUUAAGCAGAACAGACUGGAAGAACACAGUCUUCGAGCCUUCUAGUAAUGGUGCCAUUAAAACAUUAUUUUGCAGUUUCUUAAGACUCAGAAGAUUAAGGUUUCUCACCCCGAGAUCAGUUCCCCUUACAAAAAGCACUUUGGACCCAUAUUUAACCAACCGUCAGAAGGGAUUCAAAAGCAGGCUAAUUGAACACGGGGGUUUUGGAAACUCUGUAAUGAUGACCCGGGUUUUUUUCUGGAAAACACCAACAAGGGCAGCUUGGCAGGAAGCAGGAAUUAGACAGGAGAAUUGAUUUGAGACCUGCCCUCCACACUGGAAGGAAAACUCCCCCGUAAGAAACGGUGAGGUUUGAAAUCAGUGCAGGAUCUAUCAUUCACACGGCCUCCGGCCUUAACGCAGGGCAUUUUCUCGCCACCGUAAUUCCCCAGGAACUGCCCUUCUCGCGUGGGACAGAUCCACCUCUCGGAGGAAAGGAACCCCGCUCCAUCUGUUCAACCCGUCCUCUCCCUUCUGUGUCUGAGCCAUCGCCGGGUUCUCUCUGUGUUUUGCAAUCCCCUCCAUGGCUCCAAAGGCCGACAAAGUCUGUCUCCAGCGAGGGUACUGAGCCAAAAGCCCACACCGCCUGACCGUAUUUUUCUCUUUCUUAGCCUUUUACCCGCCGACUUCACAGUUCUCGGGAGCAGGCCAGCUCGGGCAGACCUCCCCCGAAUAUAAAGUUCUGCAGGGGCAGGCUGGAGAACCACACAGGGGAGAUUUCACGAGGAGCCCCGUCUGACGUUUUCUGCCUGAAUCCUUGGGCCUCGCUCCAGCCUACAAAGGCAAGUGGCAGGAAACUAACAGCCAUAAUCGAAUGAGCUCAGCCAGCCUGGAGUCUCUCUUGCAAGGGGAUCACAGGCAUUCUGCCCAGCAGAACCUAGAGAGAGAGAGAGAACCUCUGUCCUGAAAUCUCUGAAGUUUCCUGCCAGUGAGUCAGUACGUACCUGACCAAAAAAAUAAAUUAAAAAAGUUGUCUAACUGGUUUGACUGUUUCAGCCAGCUAUUGCUGAGAGAAGUAAACAGAAUAUCACCGCUUCAGUUAUGUCUGACUUGGGCAUUAUUUUCAAGUCAAUAUUUGUCUUCUCAGUGCUGUUCCAUUGCGGCCUUUGAGACGGAUAGAUGGGCACCUCGUCCUGGGGAAACCCACCCAGCAGCCACCAGACUCCACCGGCCCCCCACCCUCAUCUCAGGAUGGGGGUGGGGAGGGUUUAGUGACACUGAGUCAGGACUUCGCAGUGACCUCCUCAGGAUGUAGCUGAAUUGAGAAAUGCUCUCACUUUGCCCUCUGGGCUCCUCCAGUCGGGGGCCCCGGGUUUCUGCCGACCGCUGCACUUUUCAGUGAAUUCGACACGCAGGCGUUCUCGGUGUCUUCAUUCAGGAAGUGGCCAGCCUUGAGAUUCUUUCUGCUCGGAUGCUACAAACAAAUUGCAGAGGAAGUCAAGUCAAACUUUCCCUUGCUUUUUUUGUUCUCCGACCAGCAAUUCAGAAAGCAGAGCCGGUUUUUUCUUUUUUGGAUGCCUUUGAACGAUUGCUCUUAACUGGCAAGGCAGAAACCCUCAUGGGUUUGAUUUUUGCUGUUGUUGUUGUUUUAAGCAAAGAUCCUCCUCAACUCAUUUUUUCAAAAAAGCAGAAAUUUCCUAGAAGUUUCUUUAAGGCUGGGUUUUGUGUGGGGGGGGGGGCGGUGUUUUUUUUUUUGUUUUUUUUUUUGAGCCUUUCCAACCCAAUUGGUCCCUUAACGUCACACAGCUUUCUAAUUGUUGUUCUUCCCUUUAGAUUUAGAUUUCAGCCAGAAGAGCAAUAAUGAGCCUUGCAUGGACAAUGGCUAAAUCCGAAUGAGGCUUCUGGUGCCCUAAUUCAGGGCCAAGGAAAGCUAACAGUCAUGAUUCAAUAAAGGUGCCAGUCCACGGCAGGCAUCAGACAGAAAGGAGACACCUUAUCUGUUGAAUCUACAGAUACUACUUGAAAAAUCACACAUAAUUAAUCCCUUCUCUUAGCGGAGGCUACUUGAAGCUUUAUCACCAGCUUGUAUGUACGAUUUCAUCUCUAGCUUUCACUGAUGGCUCCGAGAGGGAGUUCAUAAUUUAGACAUGCCUACCACCCCUAUUCUAGUUAGCUAAUAGAAGAAGCUUUGCACUAAAUAACUGAGGGAACACAGAAUAGAGAUACAUAGCAAAUAUUUGCCAAGUGGCCCUGAAGUGGCUUCCCAGAUGGCACGUUCUGGGGAAUAAAGAAGAUACGACAGCCCCAUGGAUAUCAGUAUGACAUCUGAUGGUCCUCCCGCGACCCUCUGUGUACAGGGGUGGGCAGUCAAUGGGAAUUCGUUUUACCAUGGCAGUGCUCUUAUAUAGGCUAGAAAAAAUAUAUACGCAGAAAGAGGGAGAGAGACAUAUCUCACGUAACCCAACCUGUGGCCCCCGUGAGGCUCUCCACUAAAGGAAGUUGUGAUGAUUGAAAUUCAUCACACCGUGUGAAUUCUCCUGGGUCAGGAAAAACUGGCAUUGGCAGAAUCUGAACUUAAUAGUAUUUGCAAAGUUACUCUUAUGUCAGAACAUGUUUGCCCAACCAUGAUCGUCUCCUCCCUCUUUAUCUAUAAACACAUAUACACUGUAGAUAUUUAUGGACUAAUAGGUAUAUGAAAUCAUUUAUGCAAGUUGUAAUUGACUGUGUAAUUAUUGAAUAAACAGCGGAUGAAAGGAAAUGUGAGGCAUGCAUUUUCCCUUGGGCAACAUCAGAUGAGAACAUCAUUUCAUUUGCAUCGCAGGGGAGACGGACAGACAAACAGCAGAGAGACAAACAGAAAAUCAGAGGCAGCAUCCUGCUUGGACACCUCCAAGAAUUCAACUGCCUUCAACAAAUUCUAUCAAAUCCCUACUGUGUGCCAGGCGCUAGGAUACGAGGAGGACUUGUCAUCAAUGCUGGAUUGCCCAGUGUGCAGACGAGACCCUCACUUACAAGUCCAGAAAGCAUGGCUGAGAGAGAGCAGAAUGUUCUGGGCACAAAGAACAGCAGGGAGGUUGUCCUGAGGCAACACCCAGUUUGGUGCGUCUGAGGGACUGAAAAGUGCCCACUGCUUCAGUGAAGCUGAAAGGGUCGUGAGAUCAUGGGGAUUAUUAUUCAGAAAAUGAGCCUCCCCAACUCCUGCUUUGGGUGGAAUACACUUCCCUGCACCACGGACGUUGGACUCGGCCGUGUGACUUUGUUGGCUGAUAGGCCGUUUAACAGCGAGCGUGAGUCCGGCAGGCCUUGAGAUAAGAAAAGGGAGGGACCAAGAGAACAACGACUUAUCCAAGCUCCAUGACUUGGGACUUAAUAAGAAGACAAACCAAUCUUUACAAACCACGGCAGGACCGGGAUGGAAAAAAACAAAAACGACAACAAAACACACACACACACCAAAUGGGGAAGUCUGGUUAAGAACAACAGAGAGGACCUGUUUUAGACAGGAGACCAGAGAAGGCUUCUCUAGUUAGGUGAAGUUGUCUGAGAGAUGAAAAUGAUCACACACAAAAAAAUGGCUGGGAGAGAGAAGAAUGUUCUGGGGACAAACAACAGCAGGGAGGUUGUCCUGAGGCAACACCCAGUUUGGUGCGUCUGAGGGACUGAAAAGUGCCCACUGCUUCAGUGAAGCUGAAAGGGCAUCAAGCUAGAAUAAUAAGCGGGAAAGACAUAACAGCGCCCCCCGUCAUGGAGCUUCCAGUCUGGAAGAAGAAGAAGAAAGUUUUUGUCCUGUGUCUGAUGCCUACUCACCGCAGGACCCUGAAGUCAAGUUUCCCUGUCCCAGAUAAUAUGCAUUAUCUCAUCGAAUCCUCACGAUAGCCCCCUUCGUCUCACCCACGCCCACCCUGCAGCCCUCCCCAGGCUCCCUUGCAACUUGGCAACGUGACACAAUUCAGACCAGCGACGCACAGGCAGGAGAUCGCUGGGCAGAUCCACUGUCUUCGGAAGGACGCGCUGUCUGGAGAGGGCUGCGAGUUAUCCAUCCUGCGAAUGUCAGGAAGGGCCGAGGGAGCAGCUGAGCUCUGACAUUCUUACGCCAUCGAAACAGAAUAGUAACUGCCUGCCUUUUAAGGGAGAGAAAAAAAAUAACCUGUUCGUUGAGGUCUCUGUUGGGUUAUCGUCAGCAGUUGCUACUCACGGCUAAGAGCAUUCCCGACCGACUUAAUGAAGUCGGAGGAGAGAGCCAAGGUCACAAAGCCAAUGAAUGGAGCAAAUCAGAAAUCAAAACCGCAUCUUCUGGACCCCCAGAUCUGUAUCUUAAUCAUGAUGCUAUGUUGUCCUCAUGUUUCCACAAGUAAGAAGAAGAAAACAAAGCAAAACAAAAAACAGGAUAGAAAACGUAUUUGUCUGGUUUCCCUGAUUGUAUCCAAACAGCGUAACAAGCUAUUUGAUAUGGCCUCAAACCACGGGACAUUACAUCUACAUUCCAAUUUUAACAAAGACUUAAUUGCAAAUUUGGGGGAGGUGGUGAAAAGGACUAAGGAAUUCCUUAAUGUUGAUGAUGUUGUUGGAAACGUGCUAACCUUGAAUACAUCUUUGAGAGGAGUUGAAA